rnacentral:rRNA from 1 species
UACGGAGGGUGCAAGCGUUAUCCGGAUUUACUGGGUUUAAAGGGUGCGUAGGUGGAUAAGUAAGUCAGUGGUGAAAUCUCCGGGCUUAACCCGGAAACUGCCAUUGAUACUAUUUGUCUUGAAUACUUUGGAGGUAAGCGGAAUAUGUCAUGUAGCGGUGAAAUGCGUAGAUAUCAAGAGGAACACCAGUGGCGAAGGCGAGUCCCUGGACAAUUCCUGACACUGAGGCACGAAAGCCAAGGGAGCAAACAGG